CAUGCUUUCCCCAAAUGGCAACUGCCUCCACUUCUUCCCAGAAGAAAAAUCAGAGUUCUCUUAGAAUUUUUAUAUUGCUGCUUUUGUUUCUCUUCACCUUAUUCAUCUUCAGCAGGGACACUCUUGAACCCCAAUUGUCAAUCUACAGAGAUCUGUUUGUACAAACCCGUCCUCCCUCUUCCCUGCAUUUACCUUUAAGAUCUACCGAGUACUCAUUUCAGGAGAUCCUGAACUUGAUGAUAAUGCAGCAGAUUUGAUUGGUAAAAAUGGCCUAAAUACAUCUCUUGAGAAUCCCAUUUCAUCAAAAGUGAAUCUUGAGGAUGAAACUAGUGCAAAUUUAUCGGUUGCUGAUGGUAAAGAUGCUUCUUUGGAUGCACCUGCUUCAUCAAAAUCGAAUCUUGAUGGUGAAUUUCAUGAGAAAUCAACAACUAAGGAGCACCCUACAUCCUCAAAAUCUGAUUUUGGUGACAAGGACACUGGAAAAGAAGCACCGGUUGACGGUAAGGAGACAUCUUCUGAGGGACUCUUUUCAUCGGAUUCUGGAAAUGAUAAUGAAGUCAGAAAGGACUCCACUUCAAGUUCUCAAUCUGAUGAUGAUUUAAGCAACACAAAAAUGGAAAAAGAAGAGCCAGUUUCUGAAAUUUAUAGUGAAGAUUUUGCAUUGUGGAAAGGUUGUGGUUUUUACAAGGGAAAAUGGGUGAAAGAUGAGCAGUACCCAAUAUAUAGACCGGGAUCUUGUCCUUACGUUGAUGAGGCUUUUGAUUGUCAAAGUAAUGGAAGGCCAGACUCUGAGUAUUUAAAGUGGAGAUGGAAGCCAGAUGGAUGUGAUUUGCCAAGAAAACUCUCUGUGAACUGUGCGGAUCAGUGUUCUUAGAAAACAUCAUCCCUGCUGCCGCCGUUCCUUUAGCGCUAAUUUUAGACUUCAAUUUCAAGCCUCAGCCCCCAGCUCGUCUCCUAUUUGGUUCUACUCUUCUUAGCCGUUGGUCCUCCAUCACUGUCGCUCCUCAAAGAUGGCCGCCGCCGCCGCCGUUCAAGCCUUCAUUUUGGACUUUAAGUUCAAACCACAGCAGCCAGUGGUUCAAAAAUGAAGGCGACCCGUACGAUAAAAAUGGGUUUUUGAAGCCGUCUUUGACCGAUAAAGUAAGGGGGCUGUUAGGAUGUUUUGUUGUUUUAUGCAAUAACAACAUUAAACAUAGUGGCGGCUGCAACAUCCAAGCAACUCAAAUCUUUGUCGUCAAGGGAAAAGUGAAACUUUUGUAUGUCACCAUUCAUAGCCCGCAUGAGAAUCGGAAACAGAUCACCAUCUACAGUAGUCAACAAUUCAACAUAUUGUUCUCAUAUUUGCUUAAUCCACAGGAUAAAAUCCUUGUGAAAAAGGAAUAUAUUCAUUUCUAUCAGAUAGAUGAUUAUUUAAAGUUGAGUUUUAAGUUUUUAGAAGAAAAAUCAUAAGAGUUAUUUUAUUUUAAUUUUUUAUAAUUUAAGUAAACUUUUUUUUUUCAUUUG